ensembl:lncRNA
AUGAUCCACCAACCUAAGCUUCACUGCUGGGAAAAAAACACCCUGACUUGCAGCAAAUUUUCUGAGAAUGACGUGUCACCCUUCCAGAAGGACCUCCAAGUCUGCCUUCUGUAUCAAGCCCUGGAAAUCUUUCAAUCCAGCAUUUCAGCAAGAAACAAACCACAGGGCAACGGUGUAAGAGGAUGCUGACCGCCAGGCUUUGACUGAGAACUAAUGGGGGACAGGACCUCUCACUCCGGCCUGGACCUCUUCCAGCCUCGGUUUGCUUUGAGUGUUGGUGGCCUCUGCAAAGAUUUUCAACCCCACCAUUCACAUCUCUGAAUCUCCCACAGCAUCAAGCAGAGCAGCAGGACGAAGUACACACUCGUAAAUAAUUGAAAACAAUCCCUAUAAAGUUUGAACUCAUUCAUUGAACACUGCCUAGGAUUAUUAGUAUAUUCCAAAAUUACAAGCUCCUGGAGUUAGAAGGGACCAUGGGAGUCAUUAGUUCAUCCCCCACCCCAGCACCCCCCCCCCCCCCAGCAGGUGCUACAGGGUUUCUGACAGACGGACAUCUAGCCUAGACUCUUUGAUCAUCUCCAGGACCAUGACUGCCUAAGGAAGCCCAGCCCCGUCAUAGUUGAGGUCUCUGGUUAUGAGAAAAUCCUUUCUACUAUUUGCCAGAAAUCUCCCCUCCCCACUGCUGCAUCCCAUACACCUCCACACAAUGACCACAAAACUGUUAGUAGGGCUUAUUUCCUGGGAGAGUGUAAGUUCCCUGAGGCACUAACUCAGUGCCCCCAGUGAAGUGCCCAGGGAAAAUUGGCUUGCAGAUUGGUUUGCUGAUUGAUGGUGGUAGCAAAUUCCCUCUAGAACACCAGAUGAGUAAGACAGGAGGAAAGGAAGCCAAGCCCCACACCUCUGCCCACACUCGUCCCAACUCCAUGUAGCCAGGUCUCUACUCCUUCGAAUCUUCCUCCACCAAUGAGAUAGCAGCUUAAAACCAAAAGAAACAUGAAAGGAUCCUAGCUCUUGAGCCCCCCUUCCUGACCCUCACCGGGGGCCAUCAGAGUGCUGUUGAUAACACUUUCCCACUAGAAGGACACACUUAACAGACAGGGCAAGGAUAAGCUUCCCCAGAAUGAGCAAAUGAAAACCCACUCCCUCUGGCCCCUGCUCAGUGUUCAGGACUCUGUUAACUAAUCCAGAAAAUGGGAACACAAACAGCAGGUUAACUUUGGACUAUGUUUCAGACAAGCUCUUCCAAAGCACAAAUCCAUUUUUUUUUUUUCAUUCUGACGCUUUCCCAGAACAAGAUGGCACAUGUACAGCCAGAAACCUGGUUGGCAGUUUUGUAGGCAUUUGGAUAUUAAGUGAAUGGGGAUACAAAGACACACUAUGCAAAUAAUAGUCACAGGACAAACCUCUUUCAGUCUAUAACUAAGCACCUUGCCUGUGUUCCUGGGGCCUAAGAUUUGGGCCACGCUCAGAAAAAGAGUGGAGGAAAUGGAGAGUAAUACUGAUGAGUAUUUCUUUCCUAAGAGACAACUGAGUUUUAAUGAUAAAAAGGACCAAGUAGGGAUAGUAAUAAUGGUUGAGAUGAGGUAGUGUUAAGUGGCAGAUCUUUACAAACUAUAAAGCCCUAUAUAAAUAUGAAGUAUUAUAGACUAGAAGAGCAAAUUCACACCUACGAGUUCCUCCUGAAGUGUUAGAUACAUAUUCCUUACCUGCGGCAUAGUUUUACCCUGGGAAAUACAUUUUUUAUGAAAAUACAUUAAAAAAAAAAUAAAAGCUGACUUUGUUGGACA